ACUCACAAAAAUGUAAUGGUUUCUCUUGGAAUAACUAAUAAUAAAAAAUACUAUUAACUAUAGCUCUUUUGCAAUAAUGCUAUCAAAUAUUGAAUUUGAGUAAAAAUUCUUAAUAAUAGGAUAAUUAUUAAUUUAAAUAUAUCAAGAAAAUAUGGAAAACAAAUCUUCUUAACAUAUAGAGCCGAGACAAUCACAAUUGGGCUAUCCUAACAUGUGGGCAUAUGAACACGUAUGCUGCGAUACUUUGUUAGUUGAAAUGGUCAACUAUCAACACCGCCAUUCACUACAAGUUUUCAACUUUUUUUUAGCUAUAUGUAUAUACUUUUGACUGCUGAAUAUGUGCAAGCCUUUUUGUUUUUUGGUCGGCUCUAUCAAUCAUUUGAUACAAUAGGGAAAAAAUUGAAUCAAUCUAAUGGAAGGAUAAAAUCAAAUCUUAUAAACAGUAAGGAACAUUGAUAAUCUAUUCACAGUUGUUGACCAAAUCUUACUAAUGGAUCAUGAAAGCUGAUCUAUCAUUAUCUCAAUCUCCUUAUUCAUACAAGCCAACUUGACCAAGUGUACGUAAUUGAUUUUUGUUUUCUUUAAUAAUUUCCUGGCAAUUUAAUGAGAUAGUCUUAUGCAAGAACCGCCCAAUGAAACCAAAUGAAGGGCAAUGUAGACGUGUAAAGGGUCUUUAUAUUAAAAAAUAGCUUCCCAAUUGAUACAAAGAGAAAAAAAUCUAAUAAUAAACUAAACAAAAUAAUCACACUAAAAACGAUAACAUUAAUUAAAUGUAUACUGAAUUUGCCUUCAUAAUGCAACACGAUAUUAAAAUAAACAGUUAAUGCAAACAAACGCAGCAUGUUUUAUUUUCCUUAUUUAUGGAAUCUUUCAAUUCCAUUAAAGUCACUGUAGCGAGAUUCUCAAUAUUCAUUCAUAUAAAUAGAGGCUCAUGACUUUAUGAAUUUUACACAUCUCCUUUAACUCUAAUUAAGUUGCAUACAAUUCACUUAAUAAAUAGAAAAUGUCGAAGAGUCUUAGUUUCAUCAUCUUGGCUAUGCUUGUAGUGGCAAGCACUAAAAGCACACUUAUUACAGCUAGUCGUUUUAGCGAAGGAUAUCACCCAGAUGCUUCAUUUUCUAAUAAUCCCGCAGCAUCACCUGAAAUUGUUGAUUGCUCAGGGCUUACAAGGGAAGAGUGUUUGAUCCAAAAGUUAAAGAAAGCUCUUGGAGACUAUAUCUACCACUGUCCCCCGGGGGGAUGCAAAUGAUUUUGAUAAUCAGUUAUUUCAUUUAUCUUUUAUGAGUGCUUUUGCAACAAUAAUCAAUUGCAGUGAAAUUGAAACUGUGUUUUAAUAAAAGAAGAAAUUAAUUCAUUAUGAGUACGUAAUGUUAUGUCAUGUGUUUUUGGUGUGUGAAUUGUCUUUGUUUUGUUGUAUACAUAUCGUUGAAUCAAUCUACGAGAAGACAAUCUAUUGAAAUAUUAAUAAGGAUCAAGCGAUCAUUAUUACUAUGUUAGUACCACUUGUAAUAUUUGAAUUUUAAGUCCAUUUUCUUUUAGGGUGAGGCUAAUUGCAUCCUAACAAAAAAAAAUGAAAAAAACUUUGAACUUUUAUAUUUUAUGGAAAUCUUAUAUUACAAAACUGUCUAAAUUAAUUUGUAGCGUAAACUUCAUUUUACGCCCCGUGAAUCUUCAAUUUACCCCUAAGAAAUGUGAAAACAUCAACAUUCCCUCAUUUACUGGUAAGAAAAUAAAUAGAAAAUUUAUCAACGUGCCCGUUAUUUACGUUCAUCUUCUGAACCGAAAUUAAAAUAAAUUAAGAUUUUCAUACUUUUGGAGGGUAAAUUGAAGAUUUUUAUUGAGAUGGGGAUGAAUUGAGGUUUACCCCAAUUAAUAAAUUUUUUCUUUUUCUUUUUGACACAUAUUUGCCCCAUAUGCUAAACAAACAAAAAUCUUUCUUUAAUUAGAUGAAUAUUGUGGCGAUGCUGUAAAGGUCCAUUUGCAAAUCACAUUCAAAUGAAAAAAAAAAAAUUUAUACAAGGAAAUGGACAAUUUGUUGGCUAGUUACAAUUAUUAGGCAGCACAACACAAGUCACACUGUCACAGUAAUUAGAAUUUUUAUUUUGUCUCUUGAAAAUAAAAAUAUUGGCUUCUUACUUUCUUCUAUUUAAUUUGUUUUAUUUCAUUUUA
rnacentral:lncRNA from 1 species